rnacentral:rRNA from 1 species
UACGUAGGGCGCAAGCGUUAUCCGGAAUUAUUGGGCGUAAAGAGCUCGUAGGCGGUUUGUCGCGUCUGCUGUGAAAACUCGGGGCUUAACCCCGAGCCUGCAGUGGAUACGGGCAGACUAGAGGUAGGUAGGGGAGAAUGGAAUUCCUGGUGUAGCGGUGAAAUGCGCAGAUAUCAGGAGGAACACCUGCGGCGAAGGCGGGUAGCUGGGACGUAACUGACGCUGAGACGCGAAAGCGUGGGGAGCAAACAGG